rnacentral:lncRNA from 1 species
CACAUCUACCAGACUCUCUGGGUCCCUUCACUUCCCGAGGGGAUUAGCAGCCGCUCACCUCUGCCUUGGGCCAAUGGAAUUGCACCGCCUUUGGGGUCUGCUUAGCCUCUAGGGGUCUUCACUCGGGAGGAGGGCGGGGCAGGUGACGCAGCUAUAGCCUCGGCUUCUGGGAAUGGGCGGGCCAUAGACCCGGGACCACCAGCGCCAACCCAGGCUUGCCUGCGCGUUUGCUCCUCCCGUGUUGUUUAAAAGUUAUCAAUGAGAAACACAGGUGGAGGCUGAGCUCUGAUGAAUAUGGGAAGUACAGAGGGCCAGCAGCCCCUAACCACAGUUCAGAAGUGUAUGACACGCAGAAGAUGAAAGGUAAACAAUUCAAUCUGAAGACAGAGGAAGCACAAUCUAAGUCUCUAGAGCAAACAAUAAAAACAAUUAACUUUAAAUAGGCAUA